GUGCUCUCUUCGGUAGCACACAUACACUGGAAUGAUACAGAGAAGACUAGCAUGGCCCCUGCAUAAGGAUGACUUGCAAAUUUGUGAAGCGUUCUGUAUUUUG
ensembl:snRNA U6 U6 spliceosomal RNA